ensembl:lncRNA
CGCUGUUAAAGUCUCUCUCUAGGUGUUUUGAUUCUAGGUCGCUGCUGAAGUUAGCUGCUGGUUAAUGUUGAAAACAUUAACAUCCUUCAGUUUUACAAAGUUCAUGGACAUGUUAUGAGUGAUGCAGCGACUACCCAGCUGUAGUUUCCAGCCGUGUAUCUCUGGGACCUUCAGGACGAGAAAAAUCACAGGUGCAGAAGUGGAAGGCGGUGAGCUGCUGCUCCUCAGAUUGAUGUUCUUCAGGUGUUUGACACGUUCAGGAAUCCGGUCAGGAGAACAGCGGCUUUUGUUCCAGAAACAGGUCUCAACACCGCAGAGGAAAUGAAGGCCGUAAUGAGCGAUCUGUUUAACAGUCUGUCAUCAGAUCUGGAAUCAGCGGCCGUGAACCCGUCACCUUCACGUCUACAGCAAACGCUCAAGCAGAAAUCGUGUGUUGACUGAGAAUGCAUGACAUAUGAACCUAGUCCUCAAACAACAAGAAGAACCACAGCAAUUGGAAGGAUCUUGAAUUACAGCAUGAGGAGGGUUGUUAAAACAAAAGCUGAGCGUCACAUCAGAAAGACUCGCUCACAGCAGCGUCCCUGUGCCAGGUGAACAGAAUGGGUUUGUGUCGGUCUGCCAGCCUCCUCACCGUUGCACAGAAAGCAACAGAAUGCUGCAGAGUCUGCUGUGAUGAUUAGCACUGCGUCUCACACCGGCUUCAGAUCGCCGCAGACGUGACAGCAUGGCUGAAAGUCACGGCAUCAAAGGAAGUGAUAUUAAUGCUGAAGGUCAGAACAUCGAUUCAGGCUGUUCUGCAAAAUUCCCAGUGAAGGACAGAGGCGCGGGUGUGUGUCAGGUGAACGGGAUCGGGUUCUGAAUGAAAGACUCGGAAGACGCACUACAGGGAGAGGGUGCUUGCUUUCUAGGUCAUUAUUCAAACCCGACGUGAGAUCAGUUCAGCUGUGUUCAUGUUGAAGUGUCACGUAAGCCUGUUUCAAGGCCCAUUUACAAAAACACACUUUAUGAAUGAAAAAAAAAGUCACAUAUGCACUAGUGUUCAAUGGCUUGGGGUCAG